GUGCGCGUGCGGGGGCGAUGCGGGGAGCGGGGAGCGGGGUUGGCGACGAGAGGAGGGCGGGGAGCAGCGCCGGGUGCGGGCUGUGGGGCCGCCACGCCAGGAGGACAUAAAGCCGCGGGGAGCGCGGGGCUGCGGGAUGCGAGGGGUCCGCGGUGCGUUCGGCCCCGAGCAGAGGAGGUGGGGCCGGGCCCUUCCCUUCCCACGUGGGGAUGUAAAGGGCCGCAGCACGGGGCCGCUCCCGCCCCUCAGAGCGCACUCGAGGCGCUGGGUCCGAGCGCUGCCCGCUGCCAACCUGGCAGGAAAAGGGCUUGGAGGAGAGCGCUGGUAGCAGCGCCUGAAGGGCGGGGUGCGGCGCGGGCACGGGCACGGGCAGGGGCAGCUCUGCUCCUGCAGCGCGCGGUGCGGGCCCGCUCGGUGCCUGUGCCGCCCUUGGCAGCCUGGGGACACCGGGGACACGCGCGGCGGGCCCCGCGUUUCAGCCUUCCCCGGUUGUCAGAGGAACGAUUUGUGCCGCUCGCCGUUCACACGGAUCCUGCGGCGGCCGCUCGGGGCUGAACGGCUUCGGAAAUGACUCCUGCUGCAGUGCUUUCCUGGGAGGGGGGUUUGUGCGAGCGCCUGGCUGGCCCUGCCCGCCUGCAGGAAACGGGGAGAGACAAAACCAGGGCAGGGGUGAGGCUUUGUCAGUGAGGGAGAAAGGGAAGCUGCAAGAUCAGCUUUAAAAAUAGCCGUGACUGCACUGAGCGCCAGGGGGGCACGUGUCCCCUGUCCCGGAGCAGAGCCGCGGCUCGGGAGGGCUUCGGGGCGGGGUGGGGAGAUGCUGGCACAGCCCCAUAGCGAGGGAGGAAGGGCGAGCGCUGGGAGCGGUGUCUCCGCCGCUAGCCCUGGCAGCAGGUGCCUGCGGAGGGCGAUGCUACGCCACUGGGCACGAGUGGGGCAUCACCCGGUGCCAGAGGGGAGCGGGCAGCCCCGAGCCCAGCCUGCACUGCAGAGCUGCCGCCUGCUUAGCAAAGCUCACUGCAGGGCUCGUGCAGGAGGAGCUCUGCCAGCUCUGCACAGACAUGCACGUGCUUUGGAGCACGCUGAACAAUGCAGGGCCGGGAUGGAGGUGCCUUCCCUUGAGCGCAGUGUGCCCCGCUGGUGGGCUCUGUUGCCUUUCCCCAUUGCUUGUGACCAUGUUGCAACCACAAUGCUUGCAACCUUCUGCAAAUGUGAUGGGAAUGGGAAAGGCUCCUGCCUGGGAUCUAUGCCUCGGUGCUGGGGAGCCCAGCAGCGUGACCACGGUCCUGGGCAGUAUCUGGGGCACCGGUGCCUUUGAAAGCCACUCCUGAGCGCUGAGCCACCCUGCUGCGUCCACACCCCCGCUCCAGCUUGGUCUGAUCCUCCCCAUUACAGCUUCCCCGUGACCUGCCCUAUUGCCUCAUUCAGCUCUUCACUGUGCCUGGCUUUGAGGGAAGUGGAGAGAUUAGAUCAGAACGCAAGGCUUGCCAAUGAAAGUAUUCACAGGCUCCUCGUUGCUCCUGGAACAGAAAAUGAGGGAUGUCGCAACGAGACAGGGCAACAAGGCAGUGACUCAGCUCGCACCCUGAGAUGUGCCGGGGCAGCGGGGCUGGAGCAGGGGACAGGAGACAAACAGCGGUGACAGCCCUGUCCCCUUCACCCUGACAGAGAGCUGACAGUGCUCGUUUGUGGGUGUUCCCUCUGGUGCUUCCACCACACUCAUCACCAGUGUCUGAAAGGAUGAGCACUGGCCCCCAUGGAGCACGCCGCUGCUCGCCCUGCUCCUGUGGCCACCCCUCACCCCACACAUCGCUGCUUACCACCACGUUCCUGUGCCUGCUUGUCCCCAGGCAGGCGGCCUCGAUGCAGCAGCACAUUUGAACGCCAGCAGUGCCAGGCUGCACGUCCUGAGCCUUGGGAAAGGCCCUGGGCCGCCUGGCUGGAGGCUGAGGUCUGUGCCGGGCACAGCUGCACUAAGCAUCUCCCCAGGAACUUUGUUAGCUUCCAGGAACCAAGCCAGCCAUGCCUCAGUGCUCACCUGACACCCGCGGAGUGGGAGCUGCCGGUGCCGCUUCCCUGGCUCAUUGGUUUUGCUGCAGCACUGGCUGGUGCAAUUCGGGGACUGUGUUUGUUACUUCCCUGGAGGAGAUGCUGGAGAUGUUCCUCAGGCACUUGCUGCUGGGCCUCAAGAUGAGCAUGAGACCCUGGAGAGCCCCAGACAAGCAGGAGCCAUCAGGACACGAGGGCGUGUGCCAGGGGCACAUGGGACCCUAAACCCCUUCCCCAGCCACUGGGAUGUUACCAGCAGUUGCACUGGAGAUGUGUGCAUGUACACAGAUACCCAAAUCCCCAUUGGCUACAGGCAGGUGGGUCUGCUCUGCAUUGCCAGGCGGGUGGGGCACAACCAUUUUCCUUUGGCUACAUGAAAGCAGAAGGGAUGGGGGGGUCCCAUUGAGCUCAUUCUGGGGAGAAAUGGCUCCUGCUUGCAUCCCAAGAAGCCAGAGGUGACUAAUGGGGCAUGACACCAAGGAGAUGCCAGGGACAUCCCCGAUGGGAGGAGAUGCCAACCCUGCAGCUGCCCCGGCUGCCAGCCUGCUCCCGGUGGCACAGCACCACGCACCGUCCUUGGUGUGAAAAGAGCAGGAAAGUCACAGCUUGUCCUAAAAGCACGUUUGCCUGUUCCACAGUGUGUCUCUGCAAGAGCAAACCUGGUGCUGCCACUGCAGGUCUGAGCAACAAAGGAGCUCUGUCACAUCCUGUGGAAACUGAAAGCAUUGCAGGGAGAGUUGAGUUCACCUGCAGCACGGCUUCAGAGGAAACCGGGCACAGUGCAGCCAGCACGGGUGGCUCGGGGAGGGUGGGCAGGUGGGUUGGAUGGGCUGAGAUUGGCAGAAACAUCCUGAGGUAAAUCCAUAAAUCCUUCAGUAAAGGUCCAAAGAAAAGGAACGUUGAGAAUACGGCCUCCGGGACAAGACGAAAAGCAGGCAGUGCUCUGCCAUGCACCAGAGCAGGCGGUUAAAGGUGAUGGAUGUGCCAGGAGCCACAGAGCGGCCCAAGGAUGUGGAGGGUGAAGGGAGGAGGGCACCAAACCGCGCACGGGGGAGGCUUCACUGGGGCAAGGUCACAGCAGCACCAUCCCCAGUGAGUGCAGGCUGAGCUGCGGGCAGGGGGUGGGCUCUGCCAUGACCCAGCCUGGCUCUGGGCUCAGCACCCUGCACCACGCAGGACCUCACGACGAACUCGUGGGAUGUCAGGCUGCAAAAUGGGCAUGGGAGCGCUCAGCGGGCUCAGCUACCCUUGCAGAAGGAAUACACAAAAUAGAGAAAGCUGCAGGGAGAAGUGAAAAGUGAAAAUCAAAUUCUUGCAAAUGAUGGCAGGUAUCUCCUAUAGCCAGUGCGGCUGCGUGCCACCUACUGCCGAGGUUCCAGCGCAGUGCCACGGUGACGGAGCCUGCUGGGCACGGCCUGGCAGCAAGGCAAGCUCACCAAACACGAGGUUAAAUUAAAAUGAUCAAAAUAAUACCCUUCAAACACAGCAAUUUCUUUCGCAAACGGGGAAAGCAGCAAGAUGCAAAGCCCUCGGCAAGUUAAAAAACCACAUUCACGCAGGUGAGAAGUAUUUUGAGCGCUAUUUGGUUACUGCACAAAACUGAAAGCUGGUGUUUGCGAAGCGGCCAGGAGGAAGGAGCGGGCUGGGAGCCCUCUGCAGCGGGCAGGGAUGGGACCGUUGUGCAUGGAGUAAUGGGGGGUUAGCAGCACGGCUUGGCUUGUAAAGAAAAUGCUCAGCAGUUUGGAGGCAAGGGUAGCAACGAGUGGGCAGGGUGAGGAGAGCAGAUCCAACUGGUGAUGCAGCGUCUCAGUGGUUGGGAGGAGCUGAGAAGUGGCUGAGCAGAAAGAUGUGAAGUGCAAUUCAAGAUAAUGAAAUUUGGGGCAGCAUAAAAAACAUCGCUGCGUGGUGGCAGUGAUGGGCUCUGAAUGGGUUUUGUUGCUCAGGAGGUGCUGGCAGCCCAGAGCGACUCGCCUGCGCCUCCAGGCUGGGUGACAAAGCCAAGGGGACGUGGGGAGGGUGGCAGUGGGACGUGGCAGUGGGACACGGCCCGCGCAGGCAGGGCCAGUGCCUGGAGGACUCAUGGUUCUCUUCAGCAUGAGGCUGCGUUAGGGUGGGGUUUGCUGCGAUGCCAGAUUGGAGGCUCUUGAAAUCUUCAAGAGUUCUCUUUUUCCUCUCGCACUUUCCUGCCUGCCUUUUCCCACCGCUUUUCUUAUCAUUUCUCUUGGUAUUAGGGGCUUUGACUUGGUAAAGCACCUCGUAAUUUGGUUUACCAGAAAUUCUCUUCCCAAACUGAAUGUAAGCAGGUGGUGAUCGCCGUUCCCUAGGCAACAACCAUCAGAAUUACAGAGCUGCGAUCACCAAUUAACGCUGUUUUAAAAAGUAGCUCCAGGUGCUCACGUGACUUGAGCAGAGCUGCACCCGCUCAAGUCACAGUGCUGUGCUCCCAGAGCAAGGUAAGCAUUGUUUUGUAGAAGCACUGGAAAGCACCGUCACAGAGGAUGCUUUUGCAAAGACCAAGUGAAAGAAGCAGAGGAUAAGUAGAAGUCAGCAGUGCAGGCGGUGCUUGACGAUGCAGCUGACACCGCAGGUACCUCUUUUCCGUGCUCUGUAACCACAUCUGUUCCAUCCUCCCACAGCACAGUCAGCAUCUGGAGCCUGUCCUCAAAAGCAAAGAGAAGUGAGGGAGAGGACACCGUUACUUAGGACCCCUGUACUAGAUAGGAGGGUUUAAUUUCAAACAACAACAACAGAAAACCUUCGUCCCAGGAGGUCGCCUCUUCCAUCCAUCAAUGAUCUCUAAAACUGGCUCCAGUGGUGUGAGGUUGAGUUCUUGUUUCGUUAGUGGCAGAUGUGCUCUCUUGGUAUGACAAGUGCACGGAUGUUGCUGAAGUCUGGGGACGCUGGGGAUGUCAGAAUUCGGUGGCGGUGCCAUGAACCAGCACUGAGAGACUCGGUGCCAGAGCGCAUCUUUACAUUCCUGGGCGUUUGCCAGCAGCUCGGCUUCUCCAGAAACGUGGUAUUUUCAGCAAUAGCUGCUCUGCAAUUGCAGUUCAGUGGAUGAUUAAUGGCUGCGUGGGGGCCGUGCUGGUGCCCACUCACACACACUUGUAAAACUGCUCGCUCUGCUGUCAGAGAGGAGCUGGGUCACGGAAUGAAGGCAGUGUUAUUAAUGAGAAAAGACAGCUAACUGCUACAACAGCAGGACCAGCAGGUGGGGAGCUCUGCUCACUUGUGAGCGUAACUCUCCCAGCUCAGUGUGAAGGAGGGUUUCUAAUCCAGGUAGACAGCUGAGUAUCUGCUGCAGGGUUUCUGAACCAGGCAGGUACUGCUACAUCCUUGUCUCUUGUAGGUUUGUGGUGUUCUCUGAUUUAGAGCGAUCUCUUCAGUCCAUCCUGAAUGGCAGCUUCCACCUGAAUGGGAAGGCAGCUUUCCAGAUUGCAGUCCGGCUGGUACGUAGGGAACCAACACUUUCCAAGAGACUUCCAAGUAGGAGGAAUCCGAGGGCAGAGAUGAUCUCACCCAUCUGCCCGUUCACGCUGCAUCCUUCAGAGCCCGGCCAAGCAGAUGCUCACUGCAACGUCAGCCUCCUACAAAAGCAGCAACGAACCCCUCCAAGCAGCACUCCUGAGAGCAGACCA